AAAUUGAAGAGUUUGAUCAUGGCUCAGAUUGAACGCUGGCGGCAGGCCUAACACAUGCAAGUCGAACGGUAACAGGAAGCAGCUUGCUGCUUCGCUGACGAGUGGCGAACGGGUGAGUAAUGUCUGGGAAACUGCCUGAUGGAGGGGGAUAACUACUGGAAACGGUAGCUAAUACCGCAUAAUGUCGCAAGACCAAAGAGGGGGACCUUCGGGCCUCUUGCCAUCGGAUGUGCCCAGAUGGGAUUAGCUUGUUGGUGGGGUAACGGCUCACC
rnacentral:rRNA from 1 species